UGGCUCCGCCCAGGCUCGAACUGGGGACCUUCUGUGUGUUAGACAGACGUGAUGACCACUACACCACGGAACC
rnacentral:tRNA from 11 species